GUCAAAGUUAUCUGUAUGUGACUAUUUUAAUCCAAUGUUUAAUUCCACUUUUUCCCUAUCUGGAAAACUUGCAGAGGAUGAGUGCUGAAAUCAGUCUAUGUUCAUUUGUUUUAACUGUUCAACUUAAGCCCACCAAAAUCCAUUGGAAAGGAGGGAGUGGUCUGAUGCCCGAGUUCACACAGGAAGCCAAUGCAAGAGCAGCAGCUUUUCUCCUGGGUCUCACAUUGGCAUUUGGACAGCUGAACCCAGCUUCCUGCACUCUGAGCUCAAGCAGGACACAGAGAUACAUUCAUUUGGCCAAGGGAUGGUGACUCCAUGAAGAUAAGACCGUUGGCUCUCUAUGAAAAAAAAAAAAAGUUUUUCUCAAAUGCAGAAUAUGGAUCUGUCAUAAAAAAGAUUUUAAAGAGAUGAAGAGGAGGGAGGAAAAAUUAUUACAAGAAUUGUUAAAGUGCUGGAAAGGAGGCAGAUCAGAGAAACGGAACAUUCUUGCAGAAUCAAGAAGCUAUGCUGAGUGUCUUGGAAGGCUUCUGAAUACAUUGAAGCUAGUACAAAAGAAACAGCACCUUGUGAAAUAGAAGAAUUAGAUGUGCUGUCAGUAAGUAGAAGAGGAAUGGUUUACUUUGUUUUCUGGGAAGUUUUACAAGUUCAGGGUUAAGGCCUGAUUUAGAACAUGAAGUUCCAAGUGUCUUUAUAUCUAAAUUCUAAGAGAAAAAAAAUAACAACA
rnacentral:lncRNA from 1 species